GAUGGGACGACAAAAUCCCCAAAAACACAAAGUUUUGGUCCUAAACUUGCCGUUGUUUUUGACCAAAAUUACACAUGCAAGCAUCCGCACACCAGUGAGAAUGCCCACCAAAGUACAAAGGAGCAGGCAUCAGGCACAACCUGUUAGCCCAAAACGCCUUGCUACGCCACACCCACACGGGCACCCAGCAGUGAUAAAUAUUAAGCAAUGAGUAAUAACCCACACAAGCUCGACUUAGUUAUGAUCAAAUAGGGCCGGUAAACCUCGUGCCAGCCACCGCGGUUAUACGAAGGGCCCAAAACAACGGACAUCGGCGUAAAUUAUGGCUAGAGAAACUACUACUAACUGGGAAGUAAACACAAACCUAAUCGUAAAAUCUGGGUUAAAAGAACCCCCCCCCUCCCAUAUAUAAAGUACUUGAACCCAUGAAGACUAAGAAACAAACUAGGAUUAGAUACCCUACUACGCUUAGUUGUUAAACGACACCAAACAACACUAGUGUCCGCCAGAGGAUUACGCCSAAAAGCUUAAACUCAAAGGACUUGGCGGUGCUCCGUAUCGUCUUAGAGGARCCUGUCCUGUAAUCGAUACUCCACCUUUACCUUACCAUCUUUCGUCAAACAGCCUAUAUACCGCCGUUGCAAAUUNACCC
rnacentral:rRNA from 1 species